CCCGGAUCUUCAAUUUUUAUUAGGCGGGGCAAAAUCUGAAAAAUGCCGCCCCGCCUACCUACUUAUGUUUAUUUUCACCUUUAUCAUCCAUAUAAUAUUACCUAUGAAUAUGUAGGCAGGCAGGGCCGUCUCUAGCUCAUGUAGCGCCUGGGUGCAAUCAUCACCCAAGCGCCAACUAUGUAUUGAAGUACUUACAGUAGUUACAAGGAAUAUAAAUAAGAACGUUCGAAUGAAGUGCACUUUUUUGGGUUCCGUAGCCAAAAUGGCAAAAACGGAACCCUUAUAGUUUCGUCAUGUCCGUCUGUCCGUCUGUCCGUCUGUCCGUCUGUCACAGCCGAUUUACUCGGAAACUAUAAGUACUACAGUGAUGAAAUUUGAUGGGAAUAUGUGUUGUAUGAACCGCUACAAAAAUAUGACACUAAAUAGUAAAAAAAAGAAUUGGGGGUGGGGCCCCCCAUACAUGUAACUGAGGGAUGAAAUUUUUUUUUUCGAUGUACAUACCCGUGUGGGGUAUCAAUGGAAAGGUCUUUUAAAAUGAUAUAAAGUUUUCUAAAAAACAUUUUUCUUAAAGUGAACGGUUUUUGAGAUAUCAGCUCUCAAAGUCGUAAAAAGUAUGUCCCCCCCCUCUAUUUUUAUAACUACGGGGUAUAAAAUUCUAAAAAAAAUAGAGGUGAUGCAUGCUAAUUAACUCUUUCAACGAUUUUUGGUUUGAUCAAAGUAUCUCUUAUAGUUUUUGAGAUAGGUUGAUUUAACUGUAAUUUACGGAACCCUUCGUGCACGAGUCCGACUCGCACUUGGCCGGUUUUUUUAUAUUCGAAAUAUCGUCUAUAUAUUUAAAAAAAUCCAUUUAUUUACACUGUGAUUGAAAAUGUUUUGUAUUUCAUACUAUCUCUGGUUUCAAAACGUACCUUCAAUCCAGUGGCGUAGCGUGGGGGAGGGCAGGGGGGGCACAUUCCCCGGGCGGCAGCUUUUAGGGGGCGGCAAAAUUUACCCAAUUAAAAAAAAAAUUGUUCGCAACUAGUAUCUGCGCCGCUACAUAAAACUGUCUAACAAUAACAAAACAUUAAACAAGUUGAAACUUUUUAUUAAACUUAAAAUUAAUUAUUGUUAAUAUUUGGUACUUAAAACACACGUGACACUACAUUUUACGUAAUCUUGGUUUUGAGUCUUAAAUAAAAAAUAAUUAAAAUUUGCUGCUAACCCACAGCGGGAAGGGUCAUUUGAUGAUUUUUAACGUCGAUACAAAAAAAACCUUUUUUUGAAGUCGGUUAAAAAUGACAAACGGCCAGUAACACUUUUAAAAAAAAUACACUUGAAGGGGCGGCAAAAUCGACAACUGCCCCGGGCGGCAGAUACCCACGCUACGCCACUGCUUCAAUCAUUCACUGCCAGCCAUUUAUCAUAUUGUUUUACAUAACUAUGUAGCUUAUAUUAAUUUUCAUAUAUAACAUAGAUCUCUAAAUACUAAAAUACUUUACAAUUUUAGUAAAUAAUUGUUAUUUUCUAAGAGUGAACGUGUAAUAAUGAUUAAUGAUCGCGUAGCAACGUAACUAUGUAUAAACUAAUGCAAUUAAUUUAAGUGUACAUUUUAUAAGAAUGUUUAUUUUAUUUCUAGUAAAGUAUUAUUUCUAC